rnacentral:rRNA from 1 species
AAGUCGUAACAAGGUCUCCGUAGGUGAACCUGCGGAGGGAUCAUUAUCGAAUGGCCUCGUGGCCUUCAACCUUGAAAACCUGUGGAAGCAAGAUGUGCUUCGGCGCUUCGGCGCCGUUUUUAUGCCUUAAACAAGUGUUUGUGUCUGAAUCAAAUACAAGAAAUAAAACUUUCAACAAAGGAUCUCUUGGCUCUCGCAUCGAUGAAGAACGCAGCGAAGCGCGAAAUGUAGUGUGAAUCGCAGAACAUUGUGAAUCAUCGAAUCUUUGAACGCACAUUGCGCCUCCAGUAACUUGGAGGCAUGCCUGUCUGAGCGUCAUUUAAAACCAUAAACAAAUCUGUGUUUGUAUUGGGCGUCGCCCCUGGGCGUGGCCUUAAAGUCAUUGGUCUUAUAUGCGGACGAGAUCCAUUAGGACAGACCGUGCAUGGACUUUAAACCUCUGACUUGACCUCAGAUUAGGUAGGACUACCGCCUGAACUUAA